CAGGCGCCCCAAAGAAGAGGUGGUUUUUUAAAUUUCUUUUGGCAAAAUACAAAACGAAACAUAAUUUCCAUCCCUGAGGGUAUCCUAUAGAAAAUAAUUCAGGACUUACUCAGGUUUAGUAGAACAGGGAAAUGUCGCUUAAAUAUACAAAUAUAUGUAUUUGUAUACAUAGGAAUAUUCUUCUGAGUUGGAGUUAUGAAGGUGGUAACUUGAAGUCCUAUAAAGGAAGGAGGUAGCUAUACACACAUACAAUAUAUGAAAAUGCAAAUUAAUUGAAGGUCAGGAAGAAAUAGAAACUCAGAAAUUUCCCGAGGGAUCAAGUGACAGUUCUGAAAACGGGUAAAAGAAGAUAGGAGGUGAAAAGGGGAGAUUACUUCGUGUUCACUUAACAUGUAGAAACAGCUAGAACUGAAGAAUCCAUUGAGUGUUCUCUGCAACCGAACAAUGUAGCAUUCUAGACGCUGUGACAUCAUGUUUUAAAAAUAGCCGCUUUCAGCAACAGAUAGCAGUUGAUAAUGAAAACGUUUUUUCAUGUCUUUUGGGAUGAGGGGGGAAGAGAGCUGGGGGAAGGGGCGACUAGUGACUAAGGGAGAUAAAUGUCCUGAUUGUCCCCGGUCUCCAUGUAAAUAGAAAUGUAACUGGCACCGGGCUGCAGGGUCACGUGCACAUUCUCUCAUGAAAAUAUUAGGCCCAUAGUACAUUCGAUUGUUUGCUUUUAUGACCAGUAAGUCAUUAACAUAAUGCGUUUUAUUAUUAGCCUACUUUGAACAGAUGAGACGCAAUCACCAGCGACCGGAGGAGAACCCCCACGGAUGCCUCCACGAUGACUUGGAUGGAGAUGUUGAAGGUGUGGCCGGGGCUGGGAGGUGUUGGGUGCCCGGAGGGCUGGUACCCACCCAGGGCCAGCCUCAGCCCAAGCGGACGGUUGGCUCUGCUUGAAAGCAGAGGGUCCCUCUGCGCCUCACACUCUUGUGUCACGCGGUAUGUAAAAUUUCGCUGCGUUCUCAGUCUCGGAGAAACAUUGUUGCCAGUGGCGCGCUGGGAAAUUGACUGGAGAAAGUUUUGGAGCAUUUACCGAUGGCAACACACCUGAGACAUCCUGCCGGAACGCUGGGCUGCGAAGAUGGGUCAGGAUUCAUCUCUGACCACGUAGGGAGGCGACGACCGUUUCCGUGUUUGGUGCUGGAGGGCUGCAGGGGGCCCAGGUGGGGUCAGAGGAGUCCUGUGCGGUACAGGAGUGAGCGUGGAAGGCAGGCUUUCUGGGAGGUGCUGGAGCUUGAGUUGAAUCACCAGAAGUGUCCCUGUUUGAACCUGUUUUUAAGACUGAAUUCAUGUCAAAUGAAAGCCGAAUGCUGACAAUAAAAACGGCAGCAACAAGCGUUUACUGAGCACGUCCUAUGUGCUACGCAGGCACUCUGCCAAAGCCGGGUAUUAUUAGCUCGUGUAACCUGACAGCAACUUUAUGAAGACGAUACUCUGGGGGACCCCUCUUUUAGGUGAGAAGAUCGAGGCACAGGGAGGUUAAUAACUUGCCACAGACCACGGAGCUUGUGAAAUGUGGAGCUGAGGUUGAACUCAGGCGCCUCGACCCUGGAGCUACAAUCUCAACCACUGAGGACACACUGCUUCAAAUAACUUCACAGUAUACAAUGUAACGGAAAGUUUCCCAGGAGUUCGAAUUGAGCAAACAGGACCGGUUUAAACCACCACACAUGCCCUCAAGAGCCCGGGGCCGCGACGUCAGUCUCAUAUUGGCAGAACGAUCAGAUAUUCCGAUCACAGAGCCCGCCAGCUUGGCGACAGUUCAUUAGCUGUAAGUGUAGUCGUAAAUGUGCCAUGAAGAAAUUUUCUGUAACCAAUUCCAGUAAUAAUUGGAUUAGAUACUUUGUUAGUGCAGGUUUCAAUAAAGCUGCAAUGUGAACUUCACGUUCAAA